CACCCAUGGGGGGAGAGAGGAGUUUGGAAUGAUGAGCCCAGCAUACUCAGUACCAGUGGAUCAGCGAUGAUGGAGGGUGAUUCCUCCACAACCUUCCCAGGUGCACCUUUCAGCGGUACAUUGCUUCCUUCACUGUCUUGACCACCAGAGAAAAUAGAGACACACACUGGUAAUAAAAACACAACAGAAGAAGACAGAACAAAGCCAAUUGAGACAAUGCAGUGAAAUUGAU